UGGGGGAUAUUGCACAAUGGGCGAAAGCCUGAUGCAGCGACGCCGCGUGGGGGAUGAAGGCCUCCGGGUGGUAAACUUCUUUUGCUCUGAACAAGGAAUGCCUUUGGGGUGUGUUGAGUGUAGGGGUUGAUUAGCGCCGGCUAAGUACGUGCCAGCAGCCGCGGUAAUACGUAGGGCGCGAGCGUUGUCCGGAAUUAUUGGGCGUAAAGGGCUUGUAGGUGGCUGGUUGCGUCUGUCGUGAAAGCUCAUGGCUUAACUGUGGGUUUGCGGUGGGUACGGGCUGGCUUGAGUGCAGUAGGGGAGGCUGGAAUUCCUGGUGUAGCGGUGGAAUGCGCAGAUAUCAGGAGGAAUACCGGUGGCGAAGGCGGGUCUCUGGGCUGUUACUGACGCUGAGGAGCGAAAGCGUGGGGAGCGAACAGG
rnacentral:rRNA from 1 species